rnacentral:rRNA from 1 species
ACGCUCGACACCUACGGGAGACAGCAGUGGGGAAUAUUGGGCAAUGGGCGAAAGCCUGACCCAGCAACGCCGCGUGAGGGAAGAAGGUUUUCGGAUUGUAAACCUCUGUCCUCAGGGACGAAGGACGUGACGGUACCUGAGGAGGAAGCCCCGGCUAACUACGUGCCAGCAGCCGGGUAAUCUGAGCGGGCUGGCAAGGC